GUACGGGAGGCAGCAGUGAGGAAUCUUGCGCAAUGGACGAAAGUCUGACGCAGCCACGCCGCGUGAGUGAAGAAGGCCUUCGGGUUGUAAAGCUCUGUCGGAAGGGACAAAAACGUUUAGGGUUAAUAGCCCUAGAUCUUGAUGGUACCUUUAAAGGAAGCACCGGCUAACUUCGUGCCAGCAGCCGCGGUAAUACGAAGGGUGCAAGCGUUGCUCGGAAUUAUUGGGCGUAAAGGGUAGGUAGGUGGUUACGUAUGUCUGAGGUGAAAUCCCCGAGCUCAACUUGGGAAGUACCUUGGAAACGGCGUAACUAGAGUACUGGAGAGGUUUGUAGAAUUCCCGGUGUAGCGGUGAAAUGCGUAGAGAUCGGGAGGAAUACCAGAGGCGAAGGCGACAAACUGGACAGUAACUGACACUCAACUACGAAAGCGUGGGUAGCAAACAGGAUUAGAUACCCGAGUAGUCGG
rnacentral:rRNA from 1 species